rnacentral:rRNA from 1 species
UACAGAGGGUGCAAGCGUUAAUCGGAAUUACUGGGCGUAAAGCGUGCGUAGACGGUUAUUUAAGUCAGGUGUGAAAGCCCAGGGCUCAACCUUGGAAUUGCAUUUGAGACUGAAUAGCUAGGGUGCGGAAGAGGGAAGCGGAAUUUCCGGUGUAGCGGUGAAAUGACGUAGAUAUCGGAAGGAACACCAGUGGCGAAAGCGGCUUCCUGGUCCAGCACCGACGUCAGGCACGAAAGCGUGGGAGCAAGCAGG